rnacentral:sRNA from 2 species
UAUUUUUUCGCCCCCAGCUUCGAACCCAGGAAUUGCGAAACGUGGGGAAAAACGUGCGGCGAAUUCUUUCCGUGAUGAAUUAUGACGGAAUGGUUCCAGAAACUCCAUUUUUAUCAAUCAAAUUGUUAGAACGCCGCGCAUCUGAUAAUGAUAUCUAGUGAUGAUAUAUCUAGCAAUUAUAUUCAUUGAUGAUAUAGAUAAUACCUAAGCGCAAGGCUUUUCUGAGCUUAUUGCUUCCAUCUGGCACUCAGCUAUAUGUUUCAUGGAGCUCCUCCAAUAUACAUAUCUCUAAUGACUAUUUAACGGCGCGUUUGCCCCUAGCAUUUGAAAUUACUUGUCUUUUCAUCCCCGGAUUCAUGUGCGAGUGUUAGUAUGAAGUUCGCCCUUUGGAGAAGAAGUUUAUGCCGAAGGCGAACAGAUGAGCGGAUUAUCGGCCGGCAAAACUCUCGAGGCUAGUCCAAACGCUCUCCUUCAACUAGUUAACAAUCUACUGGGUC